AUUGAACGCUGGCGGCAGGCCUAACACAUGCAAGUCGAACGAGUGGCGGACGGGUGAGUAAUGUCUGGGAAACUGCCUGAUGGAGGGGGAUCACUACUGGAAACGGUAGCUAAUACCGCAUACCAUCAGAUGUGCCCAGAGGGGAUUAGCUAGUUGGUGGGGUAACGGCUCACCAAGGCGACGAUCCCUAGCUGGUCUGAGAGGAUGAACAUCCACACUGGAACGGAGACACGGGCAAGACUCCUACGGGAGGCAGAAGUGGGGAAUAUUGCACAAUGGGCGCAAGCCGGAUGCAGCAAUGCCGCGGGUAUGAAGAAGGCCUUCGGGUUGUAAAGUACUUUCAGCGGGGAGGCGUUACCCGAAGAAGAAGCACCGGCUAACUCCGUGCCAGCCGCCGCGGUAAUUC
rnacentral:rRNA from 1 species